rnacentral:rRNA from 1 species
UACGUAGGGUGCGAGCGUAAUCGGAAUUACUGGGCGUAAAGCGUGCGCAGGCGGUCUGUUAAGACCGAUGUGAAAUCCCCGGGCUUAACCUGGGAACUGCAUUGGUGACUGGCAGGCUUUGAGUGUGGCAGAGGGAGGUAGAAUUCCACGUGUAGCAGUGAAAUGCGUAGAGAUGUGGAGGAAUACCGAUGGCGAAGGCAGCCUCCUGGGCCAACACUGACGCUCAUGCACGAAAGCGUGGGGAGCAAACAGG